AAGUUAGUCAGCACGAGUAACUUUGGUUUUGUGUGAUAUAAUUAUGAAGGUAGUAGGCCUUGCUGGCGCCCGAGAGUGUAAGAAAGGCAGGAAAAGUGAGUGGCGAGUGUGUGGGGCGACACUGUACCCUCCCCACGGUUUUGGAGGACAAAGUGAAAGAUGGAGGCGGAAGGAAGGGCCAGUGAGCUGCGUAUGCUUGACCUCUGAGUGGACGUAGGGAAAAAAAAAAAAUGACACGUUUCGGAAAUAACUUGUAUCAUAAGUAGAGAACGUGCAUCCCGUUAAGCAGCCGCGCAUUGCAAGGACACGAGAGUACGUGGUAUGAUCGCAAGUGACACAUCCGGAAAUCAGCGUUUAAUUGCGUGUGUCUUAAUAGAAAAAAAUAGCUGAUUUCCAAAUUAUACAUCAAAGUAUGACCUCGUCUAGUUCAGGAGAGUCCUUCGUAUAAAUGCACUGGUGUGUGUGUGUGUGUGUGUGAAUGUUAUUGCUAGUUAUCUCUCUCUCUCUCUCUCUGUCAGUAGUUGCACAGGUCUUCAAGGGUAUUUUUACGGUUUUAGUGACAGAUUAACAACAUUUCUACAUUAAUAACAGGAGAAACACCAUUGAAAACCCUGAUAAUCAUCUUUAUAGCUUUGAAAAACAGUCGUGAAGAGAGAGAGAGAGAGAGAGAGAGAGAGAGAGUAGGAGCAUUUCAGUUGAGCCUAUUCUGCCCUGGUUCGUGUUUGCUGCGGUGACACGGUGCCGCACUGAGUGAAGAUUGCGUUCAUAAUCACUUAUCAGGGGUGGAGUGGGGAAAGGAGAGUCAGGAAGUGAGGAUAUUUAUAUUAUUUGACAUAUUAUUUGAUAGCAUGUCAACUUUUGUGUGUGUGUGUGUGUGUGUGUGGGUGGGUGGGUGUUGGAUCAGUGACAGGUGGCGCUGGGGAGUUACCACGGCGAGCGGCUGGCUGGCUGCAGUGUUUUGGUCAGCACUGGUCAAUCUUGCCCUACACGCUCUAUUAACCAGUGUUUCCGUCUUCCCGACACCUUCUUCCUGCACCAAGCACCGUCAAGCAUCACCAGAGAGGCACGAGUACGUAAGCUAUCCAACAUCAGAACAGUAUAUGAAUAUGGCAAAUGCUGUUUUGACAUCAUUUCCUGCCAUCCUGAGAAAAAGUGAUCACGAGGAGCAUGAAUUGCAGCUGCAAUGGAAAUUGCGCAUCCAGCGCAAGUUUCAGAAUUCAAGAAAGAGGCAGGAUUCCUCAGUGACUGAGGUGACGUCAAGGAAAAAGAAGAUCCCUUGCAUAGCGCCAAAACAGACUACGUGUCCACUGAUGUAUGGAGUAAAGGCUUAUCUUCCACCAAGGCCCCAUUCAGAAGAUGAUGAGUCAUUAGAGAGACAUAGACAGUGGCUUGCUCUACAUUGGAUGAAGAAAGAUCCCGAGUUAGAUAAGAUAAUCAAGAAGUUUCUGAGAUUAGAACCACAAGCGGAUGAACCAAACCCAAGAGUAGCAGUUUUGAAAGGGCUGGAGAAAUAUAGGCUCCCAAUAAUUGCAAUUCUCAAAAAAAAAGAAAAGCAGUUCCUCUGUAUAUGGAAACCUUACUUGAACUAUAUGACCACGAUGAAAGUCAAUGUGAGUAAUGUCUAGUUCAAUUUGUUCAUUUUGAGUAGCUGGUAGCAAUUUAAUAUAUGUAUCUUUUCAUCAUUAGCAAUGCAUCUUUCACUUUUAUAAGCCUAG